rnacentral:rRNA from 1 species
UACGGAGGGUGCAAGCGUUAAUCGGAAUUACUGGGCGUAAAGCGUGCGCAGGCGGUUUGUUAAGUCUGCUGUGAAAUCCCCGAGCUCAACUUGGGAAUUGCAGUGGAUACUGGCAAGCUGGAGUACGGUAGAGGAAGGUGGAAUUCCCGGUGUAGCAGUGAAAUGCGUAGAGAUCAGGAGGAACACCUGUGGCGAAAGCGGCUCACUGGACCAUAACUGACGCUGAUGCACGAAAGCUAGGGGAGCAAACAGG